rnacentral:lncRNA from 1 species
CUAAAAUAGGAAGGUUAAUCUCUGGAUGGUAAUUUACCAUAGUUACAAAUUACCAUGAAUUGUCCAGAUGAUUGAUCUGUGCAACUGUGUCCUCAGGUAAAAUGUACGUAUAGUUCAGUAAGGGCUUCAAAUGAGACUUUGGAGUGGAGGAUAUAGACCCAUAAUAAUAACAAUACUUCCUAGAAUGCAUUAAAGUUCUGUAUUUCUUUCAUCUGCUACAUACAAGGAUCAAGAUUUAUAAAAAUGAGGCCAAUCAUGGAGUGAAGUUUACCAAUGUAUGCCAGAAAUAUUAGAAGACUUGUUUGAAACUCCUACUGGAAUCAUGACUUUUCUACAGCACAAGCUCUAGGGGUAUAUUCAAUCAUUCCCUCUGCAGUAUUUUGGAUUCAGCUUCUGAUACUUGAAAAGAUACAUAAAACUCAGCCUGCUUUGAAAGAAUUCCACAUGGGAUAGGCAUAAAGGUGAAGACCAGAUUCAUGUAUCUGUGUCAGUCAUGCCCAGAUAUUGUGCUUUCUUGGUUUUCCCAGCUUUGGAGUGCGUACAUGAAGCUGUAGAGAUUUUACUGGGGAGUCUGGUUGUUCCAAUGCUAUUUAGUUCUUUAACUGACUCCUGUCUUACCCUUUAGUUGCUUUCAUUAGUGACUGUAGAAGGUUAGGCAUUAAUAUCUGCUAGAUGUCUGGUUCCUAAAAUUUCUGUGCACAUGUCAUUAGAUGGCUUUCCACUGUAGCAUUUUGAUAAAUAUUGGAAGGAUAAAGGAUAGGCAGCAUGUUUUUCUAAAAUGUCUGAGCUAAACAAGAUU